GGGUUGCGUGCCCGGCCCUGAGUCCGCCACACAGUAGGGCCCCCUGGACCGGGGGUGGAAGGAUAGAUGGAUGGCUGGAAGAAAGGGUGGGGAGGCGGCCAGGCGUCUGCCCGGGCUCGCACGCAGCCUGGUUGGCUGUGUUGGAGGAGGCGCAGCCACAGCAGUAAUAGUAGCAGCAGCAAUGUAGGAACCAGGGCGUUUGCUGCCUCUGCUUGUAGCUUACACCUUCUUUGCCUUCCAUUGAAAUGAUGCCUGUGAUUGCAGGAGGUGGACCGGCGCUCGCCUCUCUUCGAUGCUUUUGUUCUGCAAGCGCUGUGACUGUGCUCAUCGCAUAAACAAUUGCAACUGCCCUGACGACACUGGACCCUCUCCCAGGAUCCCCAACGUCUUCUCAAACCGAAAAUGAAGAAUCUUGUGAGGGAGAAGGAGGAGGGGAGUCUCGUUGCAGAAGCAGACGACCAUAAUAAAUGAGAAGGCAGAAAGGAGAAACGCAACAAAACCGGGUCCUGCUGGAGAAAGCACACAUCAUAAAGACAUAUGGCAAAAGAUCAAUAUUCAUGCCUCAAAGAGGAGCCUCGAUGACAAGCUCCACAUUUGUAUUAUGGCAGGGAGGGAAAGGUUAUUGUUAGCGCUGAGGCUUAUUUACAGCCUUUCGCUGGGUGCUGACUCCUGUCCAUUUCUUAGUAGGGAUUGAGUAGAGCCUGCAGCAGCGAGGGGUCUGGGGAUACUUAGAAGUGAGCACAUACAACAGAGCAUGGUCUACGGUGUGGCCAGCAGGUGGAGAUGCAGUGAGGCGGAGGGCACCCUGGAACUGAGCCCACUCACCAGUCACAGAACUGGGCACGCGUGCUGAUUGCAGAAGCCUGCCUGGCACAGCCAGGUGGACAGAUGUAGACAAAAAGAGGCCGGCGCCCCCUGCUGGUCAACUCGGCUCUGCUUUCCCUCCGCAGCCCAGAGGGGCCCAAGAAACCGGGAAGAGAAUGCAGGACCGGAGGCCAGAGCUGCCUCCGUGGCCCUGGGCAGGGCUCUUACUGUCUCUAAGCAUCCGCUUUCUCCAUCUGGAAAGGAAGAACUUCUCCCUGUCAUUCCUAAGUCCCAGGACUGCUGCCAGGGUAAAAUGAGGCAAAUUAUGGGCAUAUGCUACGAAAAUAGAAGCUAUUUUGGUUAUUGUUCUUAGCACGGCAUUCUUACAUCAGAGCGAAAAGUGUCUGGGACAUAAAUCUGAAAACGAUACAUUUAAAAUAAAGCAAAGAGUGAAUGGGU
rnacentral:lncRNA from 1 species